CAGCCGCCGCGGUAAUACGUAGGGGGCGAGCGUUACCCGGAUUCACUGGGCGUAAAGGGGGUGUAGGCGGCUCGGUAAGUCGGGUGUGAAAUCCCACGGCUCAACCGUGGAAUUGCGCCCGAAACUGCCGAGCUUGGGGCCGGUAGAGGGAGACGGAACUGCCGGUGUAGGGGUGAAAUCCGUAGAUAUCGGCAGGAACGCCGGUGGGGAAGCCGGUCUCCUGGGCCGCGCCCGACGCUGAGGCUCGAAAGCUAGGGGAGCAAACCGGAUUAGAUACCCGGGUAGUCCUAGCCGUAAACGAUGCCCACUAGGUGUGGGGGAGUAUUUCCUCCGUGCUGUAGCUAACGCGUUAAGUGGGCCGCCUGGGGAGUACGCCCGCAAGGGUGAAACUUAAAGGAAUUGGCGGG
rnacentral:rRNA from 1 species